rnacentral:tRNA from 1 species
UUUAGAGUGGCAGAUAAAGUGCAUUAAAUUUAAAAUUUAAAAAUAAGUAAUUUUCUCUAAAG